AACGAACGCUGGCGGCAGGCCUAACACAUGCAAGUCGAGCGCGCCCUUCGGGGUGAGCGGCGGACGGGUGAGUAACGCGUGGGAACGUGCCCUUUUCUACGGAAUAGCCUCGGGAAACUGAGAGUAAUACCGUAUAAGUCAUUUGGGGGAAAGAUUUGUCGGAAAAGGAUCGGCCCGCGUUGGUUUAGGUAGUUGGUGGGGUAAGGGCCUACCAAGCCGACGAUCCAUAGCUGGUUUGAGAGGAUGAUCAGCCACACUGGGACUGAGACACGGCCCAGACUCCUACGGGAGGCAGCAGUGGGGAAUCUUAGACAAUGGGGGCAACCCUGAUCUAGCCAUGCCGCGUGAGUGAUGAAGGCCUGAGGGUUGUAAAGCUCUUUCAGCUGGGAAGAUAAUGACGGUACCAGCAGAAGAAGCCCCGGCUAACUCCGUG
rnacentral:rRNA from 1 species